GCUGUGCUGAUCAACUUCAGAUCUUUGUUAUAAUUUUAUUUUUAUUUAAUUUUAUUAUUCUUUUUAAAUUUCUUGUACUGAAAUUUUAAUUUCAAUUAAUGAAAAAUUUAUUUUCUUACACUUUAAAUUUUUAUCUUUUAUUUUUAUUGUAAGUAGAUGCUGGAAUCUAGUUAGUAAAUCUUAGUACCAAUUUAUUUUAUACUUUUUAAAUUUUUAUUAUUUAUUUUUAUUGUAAGUAGAAGCUAGGAUCUAGUUAG
rnacentral:lncRNA from 1 species